rnacentral:rRNA from 1 species
GACAGAGGAGCCAAGCGUUGUCCGGACUGACUGGGCGUAAAGCGCACGCAGGCGGCGCUGCGCGUGGGGUGUGAAAGCUCUUGGCUUAACUGAGAGAGGCCAUCCCAUACGGCAGUGCUCGAGCGGUGCAGAGGUCCGCGGAAUUCCCGGUGUAGCGGUGAAAUGCGCAGAUAUCGUAAGGAAGACCAGUGGCGAAGGCGGGUCUCUGGACAGUUCCUGACGCUGAGGCACGAAGGCCAGGGAGCAACGGGG